GGAGGGUGCAAACGUUGCUCGGAUUUACUGGGCGUAAAGCGCAUGCAGGGCGGUCUGCAAAGUUUCGUGUGAAAGCCCUGGGCUCAACCCAGGAAGUGCACGGAAAACUCGCAGACUAGAGUACUGGAGAAGUGGGCGGAAUUCCCGGUGUAGAGGUGAAAUUCGUAGAUAUCGGGAGGAACACCAGCAGCGAAGGCGGCUCACUUGACAGAUACUGACGCUCAGAUGCGAAAGCGUGGGGAGCAAACAGGAUUAGAUACCCUGGUAGUCCACGCCGUAAACGAUGGGCACUAGGUGUCGGGGGCUUGACCCCUUCGGCGCCGCCGCUAACGCAUUAAGUGCCCCGCCUGGGGACUACGGUCGCAAGACUA
rnacentral:rRNA from 1 species